GAUCAUGGCUCAGGACGAACGCUAGCUACAGGCUUAACACAUGCAAGUCGAGGGGCAGCAUGACGGAAGCUUGCUUCCGUUGAUGGCGACCGGCGCACGGGUGAGUAACGCGUAUCCAACCUGCCCUUGUCCACCGGAUAACCCGUCGAAAGGCGGACUAACACGGUAUGCAGUCCACAGCAGGCAUCUAACGUGGACGAAAUGUGAAGGAGAAGGAUGGGGAUGCGUCUGAUUAG
rnacentral:rRNA from 1 species